UCCACGUACCAGUGAAAAUGCCCUAAAUGCACAAACGGAGCAGGUAUCAGGCACAAACAUUAGCCCAAAACACCAAGCCUCGCCACACCCACACGGGCUACAGCAGUAAUUAACAUUAAGCAAUGAGCGACAUACAAACCAUAAAGCUUGACUUAGUUAUGAUUAAUAAGGCCGGUAAACCUCGUGCCAGCCACCGCGGUUAUACGAAGGGCCUAAAGCAGCAGACCACGGCGUAAAUCGUGGUUAGAAUGCCUACCAAGUACUAACAAUUAAACCUUCGCCUGCCAGUAAAACAUAGGCCAAGUGAAACCAAACAUUCUUAGCAAAAGGUAGUUUGACCCACGAAAACUAAGGUACAAACUAGGAUUAGAUACCCUACUAUGCUUAGUUGUAAAUAUGAUAUUAUUCUACACAAAUAUCCGCCAGAAAAUUACGAGCGAAAAGCUUAAAACUCAAAGGACUUGGCGGUGCUCCACACCGACUUAGAGGAGCCUGUCCUAUAAUCGAUACCCCACGCUAAACCUCACCAAUCUUUGCCUUACCAGCCUAUAUACCGCCGUCGCCAACCUACCUCGUGAGAGAUAAAUAGUGAGUAAAAAAGUUAAUAACUAAAACGUCAGGUCAAGGUGUAGCUAAUAGAAUGGUAGAGAUGGGCUACAUUUUUUAAUAUAAAACACAACGGCAUGAAAUUAUGAAAUUUUUUCCUGAAGGAGGAUUUAAUAGUAAAAUUAACAAGAAAGUCAAUUUUAAAUACG
rnacentral:rRNA from 1 species